GGAAAUAUUGGGCUCGCGCGCGAGUGCGAACAGCUCCGAUCUGUGCCCCUCCUCGCCGGGCUCAGCUCUCCCUCCAACUCUGGCGCAACAGCAAGGUAGAUCUGUAGAUGUGCUUGGCUGCUUGCCUGCUCCUCCUCUGCAUCUGUUUGCUCCCAAAUCUGCUUCUCCAUCCACAAGGCAGCAACCCCACCAUCGCUUCUCUCCUUCCCCAUGCUUGUCUGCUUGCUCUAGUGAUUUGGCUCUUCUCUCUUUGACGGUUGAUUGGGUCUUUUCUCAGUGUUGCUGCAGCAGCGAGGUGUCCCUGCUCUGAUGGAUCCUAGGAGAAGAGCUACAUCAGAUGAUCCAGUUUGGAAGUAUGGGUUCUGGCCAGAUUUAGAGAGGAAAGAUUUACUCCAGUGUACAUUGUGUGGCAAGAUAGUCCAUGCUGGA